rnacentral:rRNA from 1 species
GCGGCAAAGAAGGCGGCGGCGGCUGGUGGUGCGGCAUCCCACCCGUGGUUGAGGUUCGACCUGUAUGUGGAGGGGUAUCCUAUCAAGAAGCAGAAGACGGUGAAGUUGGACCAUCGGAACAGCUACAUCAAGUGGCUGCUCGAGUGGGACAAGAAGCCUCGCCGUCCCCUGCCCAACUUCCCGGAGAGGCUCCGCAAGGUCACGGACGCCAUCAAGGCCGACCGCGACGAGAACGAGAGGGUCCUCGCCGACUUCAAGCGCCUCGGCUACGCCUUCGUCCAGGUCGACGUCUUCAACGACGACGACCCAAGGGCCAACCUCCCCGACCACCACUACGACAUCAUCCACCACGACAGCGACGAAGAAGCUUGA